CGCGGCCUAUCAGCUUGUUGGUGAGGUAAUGGCUCACCAAGGCUUCGACGGGUAGCCGGCCUGAGAGGGCGACCGGCCACACUGGGACUGAGAUACGGCCCAGACUCCUACGGGAGGCAGCAGUGGGGAAUAUUGCACAAUGGGCGCAAGCCUGAUGCAGCAACGCCGCGUGCGGGAUGACGGCCUUCGGGUUGUAAACCGCUUUCAGUAGGGACGAAGCUAACGUGACGGUACCUACAGAAGAAGGACCGGCUAACUACGUGCCAGCAGCCGCGGUGAUACGUAGGGUCCGAGCGUUGUCCGGAAUUAUUGGGCGUAAAGGGCUUGUAGGCGGUCCGUCGCGUCAGGAGUGAAAACUCGGGGCUUAACCCCGAGCCUGCUUUUGAUACGGGCGGACUAGAGGGAUGCAGGGAAGAACGGAAUUCCCGGUGGAGCGGUGGAAUGCGCAGAUAUCAGGAGGAACACCGGUGGCGAAGGCGGUUCUCUGGGCAUCACCUGACGCUGAGAAGCGAAAGCGUGGGGAGCAAACAGGCUUAGAUACCCUGGUAGUCCACGCCGUAAACGGUGGGCACUAGGUGUGGGGGACAUUCCACGUUCUCCGUGCCGAAGCUAACGCAUUAAGUGCCCCGCCUGGGGAGUACGG
rnacentral:rRNA from 1 species